rnacentral:rRNA from 1 species
GACGAACGCUGGCGGCGUGCUUAACACAUGCAAGUCGAACGAUGAACCCGGAGCUUGCUCCGGUGGAUUAGUGGCGAGCGGGUGAGUAACACGUGAGUAACCUGCCCUUGACUCUGGGAUAACUGCGGGAAACUGUAGCUAAUACCGGAUACGACCCUCGGCGGCAUCGCCAGGGGGUGGAAAGAAUUGCGGUCAAGGAUGGACUCGCGGCCUAUCAGCUAGUUGGUGAGGUAACGGCUCACCAAGGCGACGACGGGUAGCCGGCCUGAGAGGGUGACCGGCCACGCUGGGACUGAGACACGGCCCAGACGCCUACGGGAGGCAGCAGUGGGGAAUAUUGCACAAUGGGCGCAAGCCUGAUGCAGCAACGCCGCGUGAGGGAUGACGGCCUUCGGGUUGUAAACCGCUUUCAGCAGGGAAGAAGCCGCAAGGUGACGGUACCUGCAGAAGAAGCACCGGCUAACUACGUGCCAGCCGCCGCGGUAA